AAGACAGGAACUCAGCUCUGAGCCUCUUGACUGCUGGUAACCUAAAUCGGCUUUGUACACUAGCUCCUCUCCGUCGCUCGCCUCUCGUCUCCAAUUCUCCGUCUCCGACUCUCCUUCAAGCUCUCUUUCCCGGUGAGCUUAUGCCUCUUCUCCGCCGCUCUCGUCUUCGGCUCUCCACUACGGCUCAUCUCCGUCGCUCUCGUCUCCGACUCUCCUUCAAGCUCUCUUUCCCGGUGAGAUUUUGCCUCUUCUCCGUCGCUCUCGUCUCCGACUCUCCACUCCAGAGGCUCCUCUCCAUCGCUCUUGUCUCCGACUCUCCUUCAAGCUCUCUUUCCCGGUGAGAUUCUGCCUCCUCUCCGUCCUGUCGUCUCCGACUCUCCUUUGAAACAUCUUUCAAUGCACAGGUCUCUCGCUCUCUUGCUGUUUGUGAAGGUGCUCUUCUUGUAGUAGAUGCAUCUCAGGGACUGGAAGCACAAACUCUGGCAAAUGUUUAUUUAGCCUCGGAAAACAACUUGGAAAUAAUUCCUAAUUAGCUGAAAAGAUACCAUUGGCCCAGGUUUUAAACAAGAUAGAUCUCCUGGGGGGGCUGAACCUGAUCGUGUGAUCAAGGAGAUUGAAGAGGUACCUGAAAACAUCUGAUUUGAGUUUGUAUAAGCUGAUUGAAGGAGUGUGGUCGUGAUCCCAUUUACUUGUGAUGUUAGAUAGGAUCUACUUGUGAUUUCGGUUUUAUUUAGCGAAACAAAAAAAUUUAGAGGUUGCAACAGGAUAACCGGAACCUAUGGUAUAAUACAAGUUCCGGAUAAGUUCUGGUUCUAAGAUUCAACAUAGUAGGGUCCGGUUCCAAAAUUUUGGACCCGAUCCCUUACAAGGUAGGGUCCGAGUAUCAUAAAAAAUUGGGUAUUCGAUCACUCCUGAUGUUAAUCUAUGUCGGAGAAAUUUACUAUUUUUGGAAGUUAAUGUAUUAUAUUUGGUA